UAGCAACAUUUGUGCUGUGUGUCUUCGAGUU
rnacentral:piRNA from 1 species